rnacentral:rRNA from 1 species
CGAGCGGGGGUUAUUGAGAGCUUGCUUUCAAUAACCUUAGCGGCGGACGGGUGAGGAACACGUGGGUAAUCUGCCCUUUGCAGAGGGAUAACGUCAAGAAAUUGACGCUAAUACCUCAUAAGCUCCCGGCACGGCAUCGUGGCGAGAGAAAAGAUUUAUCGGCAAAGGAGGAGCCCGCGGCUGAUUAGCUGGUUGGGGAGGUAACGGCUCACCAAGGCGACGAUCAGUAGCCGACCUGAGAGGGUGAUCGGCCACAUUGGAACUGAGACACGGUCCAAACUCCUACGGGAGGCAGCAGUGGGGAAUAUUGCGCAAUGGGGGGAACCCUGACGCACCAACGCCGCGUGAAGGAGGAAGUAUUUCGGUAUUGUAGACUUCCAUCAGCCCGGAAGAAAGAAAUGACGGUACCUGCAUAAGAAGCCCCGGCUAGUUAAAAACCCGCAGCCGCGGUAAUACGUAAGGGGCAAGCGUUAUCCGGAUUUACUGGGUGUAAAGGGUGAGUAGGCGGUUCGGCAAGUCAUAUGUGAAAUACCUGGGCUCAACCCAGGAACCGCCUCAGAAACUGUCGGACUUGAGUACAGGAGACCCAAGCGGAAUUCCCAGUGUAGCGGUGAAA